CUCCGGUACAGGGAAUCGAACCCUGAGCUCCGCGGAACAAGUCUCUCAGGUCAUGAGAGCGCGAAAUGUUAGCCAUUACACCAUACCGGA
rnacentral:tRNA from 1 species